rnacentral:rRNA from 1 species
GUCGACGAUUACUCCUACGGGAGGCAGCAGUGGGGAAUAUUGGACAAUGGGGGGAACCCUGAUCCAGCCAUGCCGCGUGUGUGAAGAAGGCCUUAUGGUUGUAAAGCACUUUAAGCGAGGAGGAGGAGCUCUAGGCUAAUAUCCUAGAAGCUUGGACGUUACUCGCAGAAUAAGCACCGGCUAACUCUGUGCCAGCAGCCGCGGUAAUAAUCUCUAGA